rnacentral:lncRNA from 1 species
AGGACAUUGGUGUGGGGUGACUGGUCAUUGGUGGAAAGUCAGUCAGGAGAGUGUGGGAAAUGUUAUACAUUACCAUUUUGCAAAGUAACAACUUAAGGUAACUCAUUACCAUUUCAAGGCCACAUCUACACGGAUGGCAGUUAAAUAAAGUGAACUAAGUCACUUUGGAGUAGGCAGAGGAGAAGCUGAGAGAAAGCUGUUACUGCUGGAGGUGAGCUAUUUGGCUGGUCUCCCUAUGGAGGCCAAGCUGUCUGUAGUGUAGCUUUUGUACAGGGAUCUAGUGUCUGUAGUAUUGCAGUAGUACUAUACAAGGAUACAGGAAGCAAGUUGUUGACAUGACUGAUGGCUUCCUGUCGUGCCAUGAGCAGACAAAACAAAAGAGACAUGAAAGUGUGUGUCUGUGGUCUCACCUGAAUUGAACAGGUACAGUGGUGCAUGGCCGACCUCACUAACCUCAAAAACAUACCAUGCUUUUUUUCCUACCCUCAGUCUGAGGCAGAGUGGGCUUCAAGCAGAGCAGCUUGUCAACCUCUGCCACAGACUUUCACCUCACAAUGUGAGCGAAGCCUGGAGCCGAGGCUACUUUCACCCUGUCUGAACCAAUGGUGCUGACUCAACGGUUUUCAGAGGUGAAUGAGUAAACAUUUCUCAUACCAGUAUGAAUGAAGUGGGCAAACUUCACCAACUUUGAAAAUGCCUAGUCAUACCCAAACCAACAUGGGGUACAACUGCUUUUCAAUGGGGAAACACAGAUUGUCAAUUGUGCUUGCUCAGCCGACUAAGAGCAAGUCAUAGGCUGCAGUCAUAGUGAAAGUGCUGUGGACGCAACAAGCCGCAUUUAGUCUGUUUCCCCACCACAGGACGUACGUUACACCAUUGAAAACAGUGUGCCGUAUUCUCACACCAAGUGAAAAAUAAGAAUUGGACGUCGCUCGUGUCUCAAACGGUUGCAUUUCUUCACGUGGCCUUUGCGCUACCUAUUUCAAUUGUAUGACCUUUAUAAAAGAGAGCAUGUGAGUCUCAUUAUUGUGACACAUUUUGAAGAAAGGACUAAG